GGACGAACGCUGGCGGCGUGGAUUAGGCAUGCAAGUCGGACGGUAGGGCUUUAUCGUAAGAUAGAGUUUGAGAGUGGCGAACGGGUGAGUAACACGUAGGAAUCUACCCUUAAGACGGGGACAACCCAGGGAAACUUGGGCUAAUACCGGAUGAGAGUGCGAGAGAUUGCAUUUAAAAGGAUGGCGAAAGUUGUCGCUUAGGGAUGAGCCUGCGGUCUAUUAGUUAGUUGGUGAGGUAAGAGCUCACCAAGGCGAUGAUAGAUAGGCGGCCUUAACGGGUGGUCGCCCACACUGGGAUUGAGAUACGGCCCAGACUCCUACGGGAGGCAGCAGUCGAGAAUAGUCUACAAUGGCCGGAAGGCUGAUAGUGCGACGCCGCGUGAACGAGGGAGCCCUUCGGGAUGUAAAGUUCUUUUCUAUACGAGCAGUGCUAUAUAUAUGGAUAGUAUAUAUAGAGGGAUAGUAGUAUAGGAAUAAGCAACGGCUAACUCCGUGCCAGCAGCCGCGGUAACACGGGGGUUGCGAGCGUUGUCCGGAAUUACUAGGCGUAAAGGGCAGGUAGGCGGAUCUACGAGUUUUUUGUUAAAGGCUACGGCUCAACUGUAGUAGAGCAGGAGAUACUGUAGGUCUGGAAUGCGGUAGGGGAAGACAGAAUUCCUGGUGUAGCGGUGGAAUGCGCAGAGAUCAGGAGGAAUACCGAAGGCGAAGGCAGUCUUCUAGGCCGUAAUUGACGCUUAACUGCGAAGGUGUGGGGAUCAAACAGGAUUAGAUACCCUGGUAGUCCACACAGUAAACGAUAAUCACUAGAUGUCGGGUUCUAGAUGGAUUCGGUGUCGGAGCAAACGCGAUAAGUGAUUCGCCUGGGGAGUACGAUCGCAAGGUUGAAACUCAAAGGAAUUGACGGGGGCCCGCACAAGCGGAGGAACAUGUGGUUUAAUUCGAUGAUACGCGAGGAACCUUACCCGGGCUCGAACGGUGCAUGAAUAUAAAAGAGAUUUUAUAGUCCUUCGGGACAUGUAUCGAGGUGCUGCAUGGUUGUCGUCAGCUCGUGCCGUGAGGUGUAGGCUUAAGUGCCAUAACGAGCGCAACCCUUGUCGUUAGUUGCCAUCAGGUAAUGCUGGGAACUCUAGCGAGACUGCCACCGUAAGGUGUGAGGAGGGGGGGGAUGACGUCAAAUCAGCACGGCCCUUAUGUCCGGGGCGACACACGUGUUACAAUGGGGGGUACAGAGGGCAGCCAUCCGGUGACGGAGCGCUAAUCUCCAAAACCCUUCUCAGUUCGGAUUGGAGUCUGCAACCCGACUCCAUGAAGUUGGAUUCGCUAGUAAUCGCGCAUCAGCCAUGGCGCGGUGAAUACGUUCCCGGGCCU
rnacentral:rRNA from 1 species